rnacentral:rRNA from 1 species
GACGAACGCUGGUGGCGUGCUUAACACAUGCAAGUCGAACGGGAUUUAGUAAACAGAAGCCUCGGUGGAAGAUUACUAAUGAGAGUGGCGAACGGGUGAGUAACGCGUGAGCAACCUGCCUAUGACAGUGGGAUAGCCUCGGGAAACCGGGAUUAAUACCGCAUAAAAUCGUAGAAACACAUGUUUUAACGGUCAAAGAUUUAUCGGUCAUAGAUGGGCUCGCGUCUGAUUAGCUAGUUGGUGAGAUAACAGCCCACCAAGGCGACGAUCAGUAGCCGGUCUGAGAGGAUGAACGGCCACAUUGGAACUGAGACACGGUCCAAACUCCUACGGGAGGCAGCAGUGGGGAAUAUUGCACAAUGGGGGAAACCCUGAUGCAGCGACGCCGCGUGAACGAAGAAGGUAUUCGUAUCGUAAAGUUCUGUCCUAUGGGAAGAUAAUAACAGUACCAUAGAAGAAAGCUCCGGCUAAAUACGUG